GACGAACGCUGGCGGCGUGCUUAACACAUGCAAGUCGAACGGAAAGGCCCCUUUGGGGGUCCUCGAGUGGCGAACGGGUGAGUAACACGUGAGUAACCUGCCCUUGACUUCGGGAUAACUUCAGGAAACUGGGGCUAAUACCGGAUAGGAAUCCUUGCUGCAUGGUGGGGGUUGGAAAGCUUCGGCGGUUUUGGAUGGACUCGCGGCUUAUCAGCUUGUUGGUGGGGUAGUGGCUUACCAAGGCUUUGACGGGUAGCCGGCCUGAGAGGGCGACCGGCCACAUUGGGACUGAGAUACGGCCCAGACUCCUACGGGAGGCAGCAGUGGGGAAUAUUGCACAAUGGGCGGAAGCCUGAUGCAGCAGCGCCGCGUGCGGGAUGACGGCCUUCGGGUUGUAAACCGCUUUCAGCAGGGGCGAAGCUUGUGGUGACGGUACCUGCAGAAGAAGCACCGGCUAACUACGUG
rnacentral:rRNA from 1 species